rnacentral:lncRNA from 1 species
CGACAUUUCUGUAUUGUGUGAACACAUCCUUUUGUAUUUUUAUUACCUUCUAUUUCUGAAACUGAAAUGUUUUGUUUAUUCAAUAAAUUAUUUUGCUGUGCCUCACAUGAAUGAGAAUUGUGGUGGUUUUACUGUUCUAGGCAGCUAAACACCACAACUGCUCUCUCACUCCCCCUCCCUAGAUGAAGAAGUAAAGAACUCAUAGGUUGAGAUAAGGAUAGUUUAAUUAAGAUCUAUUACAAAAACAAAACAAACAAACAAACAUCCAUAAGAGUUCUAGUACAGAAACCAAAAACCCAAACAAGGUUGAUUACUGGCAUUCUGACGCAAUGCAGGAUUACUGCUGCCCCAAGCUUCUAAAGUUCUUUUUGUCAUCAGGCCUGCACCCAACACAAUUUGUCAAGCUUUGAGACACAUUGAAACACAUCAAUUAAAAAUUUAAUUUCCUUAUUCAAAAGUAUUAAUUAAAACAUCCUGCAGGAAGCCAGUUUAUAUGUUUUGCACUUAAGAUUGCAUUCUGAUUGAGGUGAAAGGUGAAUUUACACAUUGAAAAUCUGGUUGCUUCUUUUAUUUUUUUCUUUUCUUUUAUUUAUUUAUUUAUUUUUAAUGAUAGCAAAGAACCGAAUGCAGUGAUCCCUUUAGGGAUGCAGGGAUCUCUUUAGGUCUGCUUUUCUGCCUUCAUUUCCAAUACCAGAGGAAUAAUGCAUUUUCAGUGCCAGAAGAGAAACAGGAGAUGAGGAUUUUACAGGGGAACUGUCAGUUAAACAAGUUUUACACAGCUGUUCUCUCAUCUUCAGAUCAAGUGUGGAAUUUUAGUUUCGUACAUAUUAUUGGGUGA